rnacentral:rRNA from 1 species
GUCGAGAAUCUUUCACAAUGGGGGCAACCCUGAUGGAGCGACGCCGCGUGGAGGAUAAGGUCUUCGGAUUGUAAACUCCUGUCAUGCGUGAACAAGGUUGCUUGGUUAAUACCUGGGCAAAUUGAUGGUAACGCAAGAGGAAGAGACGGCUAACUCUGUGCCAGCAGCCGCGGUAAUACAGAGGUCUCAAGCGUUGUUCGGAAUCACUGGGCGUAAAGGGUGCGUAGGUGGCGUGGUAAGUCAGAUGUGAAAGCCCGGGGCUCAACCUCGGAACUGCAUCCGAUACUGCCAUGCUAGAGUACUGGAGAGGUGACUAGAAUUCUCGGUGUAGCAGUGAAAUGCGUAGAUAUCGAGAGGAAUACCAAAGGCGUAGGCAGGUCACUGGACAGUUACUGACACUGAGGCACGAAGGCCAGGGGAGCGAACGGGAUUAGAUACCCUUGUAGCC